UUCAUGUCACAUUACAGAAACUACAAAAAAGGGACUAAAUUUGUUUGGUUCCCAUGGAUGGCAGUCAGUACUGAUGUUUCCAACUAUGAGACGAGCACAUUGUGAUGUGGGUGAUGGUUACUUUCAGAAAUGAUCUGCCUUCUCACUAACUGCACAGAUUUUGACAAGGUAUUCACUUGCAGCAAGCUCCAGAGAAAAACAUGACAGACUUUCACUCGCAUUGGGAGUUUAAUUACUGCAAAAUCGUAAGGAAAAAGAAACAGAAAAUAAUCUCAUUUUUAAUUGAGUGGACUAGAAGACGACUUAAUCUUGAAUCCACUGACUGAUACAUAAUCACGUGUCACAGUGGACAGCCAGAGAUUAGCAGGAAGAAAUUGGAAAGUUUAUUCUUACUGGACAACUUUCUACCCUGAAGCCCAGCCUGGUGAAUUAGCUGAAAGAUUAAAGAGCUGAAGACAGUGUAAAUCAGUGCUGAUUUCUGAUUUAGUAUGUUUUCCAGACCCUUUUUGAAAUUUCAGUCAUUUUGUACAAAACUAAUCUAAAUAAUGAAUGUGAAUAAUGACAUUCAUGAAGCAGGAUUACAUGAGAAACAACCGAUUAAGUGAUGAAGGCAGCUGGGCACAUCAACAAUUCUUGUAGUGACCUGCUUACUCGAUCUUAACUCAUGCACAUCUCAAGUUAACAGAUAUAAUAUGGCCAGCCAAUUUCACCAGGUAAGU